rnacentral:rRNA from 1 species
ACGCUGGCGGCAUGCUUUACACAUGCAAGUCGGACGGCAGCACAGAGAAGCUUACUUCUUGGGUGGCGAGUGGCGAACGGGUGAGUAAUAUAUCGGAACGUACCGAGUAAUGGGGGAUAACUAAUCGAAAGAUUAGCUAAUACCGCAUAUUCUCUGAGGAGGAAAGCAGGGGACCUUCGGGCCUUGCGUUAUUCGAGCGGCCGAUAUCUGAUUAGCUAGUUGGUGGGGUAAAGGCCUACCAAGGCGACGAUCAGUAGCGGGUCUGAGAGGAUGAUCCGCCACACUGGGACUGAGACACGGCCCAGACUCCUACGGGAGGCAGCAGUGGGGAAUUUUGGACAAUGGGCGCAAGCCUGAUCCAGCCAUGCCGCGUGUCUGAAGAAGGCCUUCGGGUUGUAAAGGACUUUUGUCAGGGAAGAAAAGGCUGUUGCUAAUACCGACAGCUGAUGACGGUACCUGAAGAAUAAGCACCGGCUAACUACGUGCCAGCAGCCGCGGUAAUACGUAGGGUGCGAGCGUUAAUCGGAAUUACUGGGCGUAAAGCGAGCGCAGACGGUUACUUAAGCAGGAUGUGAAAUCCCCGGGCUCAACCUGGGAACUGCGUUCUGAACUGGGUGACUAGAGUGUGUCAGAGGGAGGUAGAAUUCCACGUGUAGCAGUGAAAUGCGUAGAGAUGUGGAGGAAUACCGAUGGCGAAGGCAGCCUCCUGGGAUAACACUGACGUUCAUGCUCGAAAGCGUGGGUAGCAAACAGGAUUAGAUACCCUGGUAGUCCACGCCCUAAACGAUGUCAAUUAGCUGUUGGGCAACUUGAUUGCUUAGUAGCGUAGCUAACGCGUGAAAUUGACCGCCUGGGGAGUACGGUCGCAAGAUUAAAACUCAAAGGAAUUGACGGGGACCCGCACAAGCGG